rnacentral:rRNA from 1 species
UACGUAGGGUGCGAGCGUUGUCCGGAAUUACUGGGCGUAAAGAGCUCGUAGGCGGUGUGUCGCGUCGGCCGUGAAAACCUGCAGCUUAACUGUGGGCUUGCGGUCGAUACGGGCAUCACUGGAGUUCGGCAGGGGAGACUGGAAUUCCUGGUGUAGCGGUGAAAUGCGCAGAUAUCAGGAGGAACACCGGUGGCGAAGGCGGGUCUCUGGGCCGAGACUGACGCUGAGGAGCGAAAGCGUGGGGAGCGAACAGG